rnacentral:rRNA from 1 species
GAUGAACGCUGGCGGCGUGCCUAAUACAUGCAAGUCGAACGAAACUUCUUUAUCACCGAGUGCUUGCACUCACCGAUAAAGAGUUGAGUGGCGAACGGGUGAGUAACACGUGGGCAACCUGCCCCAAAGAGGGGGAUAACCCUUGGCAACAGGUGCUAAUACAGCAUAACCAUAGUUACCGCAUGGUAACUAUGUAAAAGGUGGCUAUACUACCGCUUUUGGAUGGGCCCGCGGCGCAUUAGCUAGUUGGUAGGGUAAAGGCUUACCAAGGCAAUGAUGCGUAGCCGAAUUGAGAGGGUGAUCGGCCACACUGGAACUGAGACACGGCCCAAACUCCUACGGGAGGCAGCAGUAGGGAAUCUUCCACAAUGGGCGAAAGCCUGAUGGAGCAACGCCGCGUGGGUGAAGAAGGUCUUCGGAUCGUAAAACCCUGUUGUUAGGGAAGAAAGUGCGUGAGAGUAACUGUUCACGUUUCGACGGUACCUAACCAGAAAGCCACGGCUAACUACGUG